UUGAACGCUGGCGGCAGGCCUAACACAUGCAAGUCGAGCGGCAGCGCGGGGCAACCUGGCGGCGAGCGGCGGACGGGUGAGUAACGCGUAGGAAUCUACCCAGUAGCGGGGGAUAGCCCGGGGAAACUCGGAUUAAUACCGCAUACGCCCUAAGGGGGAAAGCAGGGGAUCGUAAGACCUUGCACUAUUGGAAGAGCCUGCGUUGGAUUAGCUAGUUGGUAGGGUAAAGGCCUACCAAGGCGACGAUCCAUAACUGGACUGAGAGGAUGAUCAGUCACACCGGAACUGAGACACGGUCCGGACUCCUACGGGAGGCAGCAGUGGGGAAUAUUGGACAAUGGGGGCAACCCUGAUCCAGCCAUGCCGCGUGUGUGAAGAAGGCCUUCGGGUUGUAAAGCACUUUAAGUGGGGAGGAAGGGGUGAUUGCUAAUAACAAUCAUCAUUGACGCUACCCACAGAAUAAGCACCGGCUAACUCUGUGCCAGACGCCGCCGUAA
rnacentral:rRNA from 1 species